UUGAACGCUGGCGGCAUGCUUUACACAUGCAAGUCGAACGGCAGCGCGGGCUUCGGCCUGGCGGCGAGUGGCGAACGGGUGAGUAAUGCAUCGGAACGUGCCCAGUAGUGGGGGAUAGCUCGGCGAAAGCCGGAUUAAUACCGCAUACGACCUGAGGGUGAAAGCGGGGGAUCUUCGGACCUCGCGCUAUUGGAGCGGCCGAUGGCAGAUUAGCUAGUUGGUGGGGUAAAGGCCUACCAAGGCGACGAUCUGUAGCUGGUCUGAGAGGACGACCAGCCACACUGGGACUGAGACACGGCCCAGACUCCUACGGGAGGCAGCAGUGGGGAAUUUUGGACAAUGGGCGAAAGCCUGAUCCAGCAAUGCCGCGUGUGUGAUGAAGGCCUUCGGGUUGUAAAGCACUUUUGGCGGGAACGAAAAGGACUGUGCCAAUACCACGGUUCGAUGACGGUACCCGCAGAAUAAGCACCGGCUAACUACGUG
rnacentral:rRNA from 1 species